rnacentral:rRNA from 1 species
AACGAACGCUGGCGGCAUGCCUAACACAUGCAAGUCGAACGAGAUCUUCGGGUCUAGUGGCGCACGGGUGCGUAACGCGUGGGAAUCUGCCCUUUGGUUCGGAAUAACAGUUGGAAACGACUGCUAAUACCGGAUGAUGACGAAAGUCCUAAGAUUUAUCGCCAGAGGAUGAGCCCGCGUAGGAUUAGCUAGUUGGUGUGGUAAAGGCGCACCAAGGCGACGAUCCUUAGCUGGUCUGAGAGGAGGAUCAGCCACACUGGGACUGAGACACGGCCCAUACUCCUACGGGAGGCAGCAGUGGGGUAUAUUGGACAAUGGGCGAAAGCCUGAUCCAGCAAUGCCGCGUGAGUGAUGAAGGCCUUAGGGUUGUAAAGCUCUUUUACCCGGGAUGAUAAUGACAGUACCGGGAGAAUAAGCUUCGGCUAACUCCGUGCCAGCCGCCGCCGUAA